AAGAGUGUAGUUUAAGGGCAAAAUUGGAAGCUUCAACCUUCAAGUUCUUGGUUCGAAUCCGAGUACUCUUG
rnacentral:tRNA from 2 species